rnacentral:rRNA from 1 species
AGAGUUUGAUCCUGGCUCAGAAUGAACGCUGGCGGCGUGCUUAACACAUGCAAGUCGAACGAGAAAGCUUUAGCUUGCUAGAGCGAGUACAGUGGCGCACGGGUGAGUAACGCGUGGGUAAUCUACCCUUGAAUUUGGGAUAACACUUCGAAAGGGGUGCUAAUACCGGAUAACAUCUUUUGUAUUGCGGUACGAGAGAUCAAAGACAGCCUCUACAUGUAAGCUGUUGUUUAGGGAUGAGCCCGCGUACCAUUAGCUUGUUGGUGGGGUAAAGGCCUACCAAGGCGACGAUGGUUAGCUGGUCUGAGAGGAUGAUCAGCCACACUGGAACUGGAACACGGUCCAGACUCCUACGGGAGGCAGCAGUGAGGAAUUUUGCGCAAUGGGCGAAAGCCUGACGCAGCAACGCCGCGUGAGUGAUGAAGGAUUUCGGUUCGUAAAGCUCUGUCAAGUGGGAAGAAGUUAUCAUAUGUUAAUAGUGUAUGGUAGGGACG